rnacentral:rRNA from 1 species
UACGUGGGGGGCGAGCGUUGUUCGGAAUUAUUGGGCGUAAAGGGUGCGUAGGCGGUUUGGUAAGUCUUAUGUGAAAUCUACAGGCUCAACUUGUAGUCUGCAUGAGAAACUGCCGGGCUUGAGUGUGGGAGAGGUGAGUGGAAUUCCUGGUGUAGCGGUGAAAUGCGUAGAUAUCAGGAGGAACACCUGUGGCGAAAGCGGCUCACUGGACCAUAACUGACGCUGAUGCACGAAAGCUAGGGGAGCAAACAGG